rnacentral:tRNA from 1 species
UCCCUGGUGACUCAGAUGGUAAAGAAUCCACCUGCAAUGUGGGAUACCUGGGUUUGAUCCCUGGCUUGGGAA